GACCCUGCAGGUCUUUUCUCCUGCGUCCCCUGACGAAUUGUCAACAUUGAAUGACAUAAAGUCUGAUUUCAGGGGCUGUUGUGCCCGCUGCUGCCUUGCUGUUUUCAAGAUGCAUUUUACCUACUUUCUGUUGCCUUAUGGAGAAAACUGACCCUGCAGACACAUAUAUGGGUGUGGUCUCUAACACUGCAUUCCAUCUUUUAGCCAUUCUGCAAUGACAGAUGUGACUGUUCAUUUAACAGGUUCAAUACGGGAGAUGAGCAUCAUUUCAGCAAGAAAAUACAAACUGCUGGUGUCACCAAACAGUUGUCAACCGUGCAGUUUCUGCUGUGGCAGAUUGCCAGGAUAAAGUGACCCAAAAAGUGGAUGGGAGCUUAGACCCCCUGCACAAAUGGCAACCACCAGUGGGGUCCAGACUGCAUUCUCCCAGGAAUUUAGGAUGCAGGGUCCCCAGGUGGUGGUAGCUGAGUCUCCUCUUGAGAGAAGCCUUGUAGUAAUCACUGAAGACUUGGUUUCAGCUUCUCUUAUUCUCAAUUUGAGUGCUUUCACAUCUGUGCUGAUUAUAAGAUUAUAAAGUCCUUAUUCUGGGAAGAUUAAAGAGAAAUAAAAAAAAAAUAAUAG